UCGAAUUGUGAUAUUGAAAACA
rnacentral:siRNA from 1 species